rnacentral:antisense_RNA from 1 species
GAUGAAGUGAGGAGAUGAAUAUGAAGAAGCUAACUGCUUGUGAGUUUUAUCAACAGUACUUUUCGGCGACGCAGGGAGCGUCAUGGCUGGCCCGCCUGGUUGCAGGAACGCGCCUGAAAAUGCUGGAAGACUUGAUGCAAUGGGAAGUUACAUGCCCGGCUUCGGAUCCUCAUUAACUUGACUUGAUCAUGUGUGACUGAGUAUUGGUAUCAGGCGAUAGCCUUGAAAGACCCGCCAGCAGAAUGCUUCUGCUGGCUUUUUUC